AACGAACGCUGGCGGCGUGCCUAACACAUGCAAGUCGAGCGCGAAAGGAGCAAUCCGAGUAGAGCGGCGCACGGGUGCGUAACACGUGGAUAAUCUGCCUCAGGGUUGAGGAUAACCUUCCGAAAGGUUGGCUAAUACUCGGUAAGCUUACGGUGACUUCGGUCGCUGUGAGAAAACUAGACCUCUAUUUAUAAGUUUAGGCUCAGAGAUGAGUCCGCGGCCCAUCAGCUAGUUGGCGGGGUAACGGCCCACCAAGGCUACGACGGGUAGCUGGUCUGAGAGGACGAUCAGCCACACUGGAACUGAGACACGGUCCAGACUCCUACGGGAGGCAGCAGUGGGGAAUUUUCCACAAUGGGCGAAAGCCUGAUGGAGCAACGCCGCGUGUGUGAUGAAGGUCUUCGGAUCGUAAAGCACUUUCGACUGGGACGAAAAACCUUUGGCUAACAUCCAGGGGCCUGACGGUACCAGGAGAAGAAGCACCGGCUAACUCUGUGCCAGCAGCCGCGGUAAAAC
rnacentral:rRNA from 1 species